rnacentral:rRNA from 1 species
GCUCAACCGGGGAGGGUCAUUGGAAACUGGGGAACUUGAGUGCAGAAAAGGAAAGUGAAAUUCCACGUGUAGCGGUGGAAUGCGUAAAGAUGUGAAGGAACACCAGUGGCGAAGGCGAUUCUCUGGUCUGUAACUGACGCUGAGGACCGAAAGCGGGGGGAGCGAACAGGAUUAAAUACCCUGGUAGUCCACGCCGUAAACAAUGAGUGCUAAUUGUUAGGGGGUUUCCGCCCCUUAAUGCUGCAUCUAACGCAUUAAACACUCCGCCUGGGGAGUAAGGUCGCAAGACUGAAACUCAAAGGAAUUGACGGGGGCCCGCACAAGCGGUGGAGCAUGUGGUUUAAUUCAAAGCAACGCAAAAAACCUUACCAGGUCUUGACAUCCUCUGACAAUCCUAAAAAUAGGACGUCCCCUUCGGGGGCAGAGUGACAGGUGGUGCAUGGUUGUCGUCAUCUCGUGUCGUGAGAUGUUGGGUUAAGUCCCGCAACGAGCGCAACCCUUGAUCUUAUUUGCCAGCAUUCAUUUGGGCACUCUAAGGUGACUGCCGGAGACACACCAGAGGAGGGUGGAGAUGACGUCAAAUCAUCGUGCCCCUUAUGACCUGCGCUACACACGUGCUACUGUGGGCAGAACAAAG